rnacentral:lncRNA from 1 species
UAAUAAUUAAAAAGAAGAAAUGGCUGAAAGAUCUAUUCCAAUAUUUGGGGCAAAAGGAGGAGAAAAGAAGAAGAAAAACAAACAUGAAAGAAGUAGAAGAAAAAUCACUCUGAAAGGGAGUGCUUACCAGAGGAGGAUCCAAAAGCGGAGCCAUCCUACAAAGCACAGAUCAUCAGCCCAGACAGACCCCACAAUUCAGCCCAGAUGGAUGGACACAAUAUGCAGAUCCUGGUACCAGGAGGUCAAGCCUGAUUUCACUCCCUUAGGCAAAGGAGAGAGGAAGUCUGGGUCCAGGGAGGAAUGGAACAUGCUGAACACCUCUAUUGUUUCAUUGUGUUUCCUUCUCUACUGUUCCUCACGAGGAAAGACCCCAACACAGCUGUAUGUGGUGAGGUGAUAAUUCGACGCA